rnacentral:rRNA from 1 species
AUUCUUUAGUUGCCAUCAUUAGGUUGGGCACUCUAAAGAAACUGCGCAGUUAAUGCGGAGGAAGGUGGGGAUGACGUCAAGUCCUCAUGGCCCUUAUACCCAGGGCUACACACGUGCUACAAUGGACGGAACAAAGGGCUGCAAACCUGCGAAGGCAAGCAAAUCCCACAAAUUCGUUCUCAGUUCGGAUUGGAGUCUGCAACCCGACUCCAUGAAGUUGGAAUCGCUAGUAAUCGCGGAUCAGCAUGCCGCGGUGAAUACGUUCCCGGGCCUU